GAUCGAGGAGCUCAUCAGAUGAGGUCGGCUCGACAGGUUCAUUCGACGCCGACCUGAAGGCAGAGAGGAUCGGCCAAGGGCCCUGCCGCAACCUGAACCACCGAGGAGGGAAGAGCAGUCCGGAGAUCGGCCUCCAAUCGGGAUCAUCAACUCCAUCACUGGAGGACCUCAAGGAGGAGCAGACCUUCCACGACCAUGGGACUCGAAAAACCUG
rnacentral:lncRNA from 1 species